GCGCUCACUUCGGCAGCACAUAUACUAAAAUUGGAACGAUAGAGAAGAUCAGCACGGCCCCUGCACAAGGACGACACGCAAAAUUGUAAAGCGUUCUAUAUUUUU